rnacentral:rRNA from 1 species
UACGUAGGUGGCAAGCGUUGUCCGGAAUUAUUGGGCGUAAAGCGCGCGCAGGCGGUCCCUUAAGUCUGAUGUGAAAGCCCACGGCUCAACCGUGGAGGGUCAUUGGAAACUGGGGGACUUGAGUACAGAAGAGGAAAGCGGAAUUCCACGUGUAGCGGUGAAAUGCGUAGAGAUGUGGAGGAACACCAGUGGCGAAGGCGGCUUUCUGGUCUGUAACUGACGCUGAGGCGCGAAAAGCGUGGGGGAGCAAACAGG